GGAAAGGAUGUAGCUCAGUGGUGGAGCAUCUGUUUUACACUCAGAAGGUCCUGGGUUCCAUUCCCAGCAUCUCCA